rnacentral:rRNA from 1 species
UAGUAACGCGUAGGAAUCUAUCACUGGGUGGGGGACAACCGUGGGAAACUACGGCUAAUACCGCAUGAUACCUGAGGGUCAAAGGCGCGAGUCGCCUGGUGAGGAGCCUGCGUCUGAUUAGCUUGUUGGUGGGGUAAAGGCUUACCAAGGCGACGAUCAGUAGCUGGUCUGAGAGGAUGAUCAGCCACAUUGGGACUGAGACACGGCCCAAACUCCUACGGGAGGCAGCAGUGGGGAAUAUUGGACAAUGGGCGAAAGCCUGAUCCAGCAAUGCCGCGUGUGUGAAGAAGGUCUUAGGAUUGUAAAGCACUUUUGGCAGGGACGAUGAUGACGGUACCUGCAGAAUAAGCCCCGGCUAACUUCGUGCCAGCAGCCGCGGUAAUACGAAGGGGGCUAGCGUUGCUCGGAAUGACUGGGCGUAAAGGGCGCGUAGGCGGCUUGCACAGUCAGAUGUGAAAUUCCUGGGCUCAACCUGGGGACUGCAUUUGAUACGUGUAGGCUUGAGUGGAGAAGAGGGUUGUGGAAUUUCCAGUGUAGAGGUGAAAUUCGUAGAUAUUGGAAAGAACACCGGUGGCGAAGGCGGCAACCUGGUCUUCAACUGACGCUGAGGCGCGAAAGCGUGGGGAGCAAACAGGAUUAGAUACCCUGGU